rnacentral:rRNA from 1 species
UGCAAGUCGAGCGCUCACUUCGGUGGGAGCGGCGGACGGGUUAGUAACGCGUGGGAACAUACCCUUUACUAACGAAUAGCCAUUGGAAACGAUGAGUAAUACCUUAUACGCCCUUCGGGGGAAAGAUUUAUCGGUAAAGGAUCGGCCCGCGUUAGAUUAGAUAGUUGGUGGGGUAACGGCCUACCAAGUCUACGAUCUAUAGCUGGUUUGAGAGGAUGAUCAGCAACACUGGGACUGAGACACGGCCCAGACUCCUACGGGAGGCAGCA